UACGUAGGGUGCAAGCGUUGUUCGGAAUCAUUGGGCGUAAAGGGCGUGUAGGCGGUUUGUUAAGUCAUGUGUGAAAUCCCUCGGCUCAACCGAGGAAAGACGCAUGAAACUGGACAGCUAGAGUACCGAAGAGGGGGGUGGAAUUCCCGGGUGUAGCGGUGAAAUGCGAUAGAUAUCGGGAGGAACACCCUGUGGCGGAAGGCGGCCCCCCUGGUCGGAUACUGACGCUGAGACGCGAAAGCGUGGGGAGCAAACAGG
rnacentral:rRNA from 1 species